rfam:Papio anubis isolate 1X1155 chromosome 3, whole genome shotgun sequence.
CUUUAGCUUUCUUUAGAAACCACAAACAUUUAGAAUCAAAAUGUAU